UGGUGGAGUGAUUUGUCUGGUUAAUUCCGUUAACGAACGAGACCUCGACCUGCUAAAUAGUUCGACGAACCCCCCGGGGUUCGCACGAUACUUCUUAGAGGGACUAUCGGUGUCUAGCCGAUGGAAGUUCGAGGCAAUAACA
rnacentral:rRNA from 1 species